rnacentral:rRNA from 1 species
UACAGAGGUCUCAAGCGUUGUUCGGAUUCAUUGGGCGUAAAGGGCGCGUAGGCGGCAUCGCAAGUGGAAGGUGAAAUCCCUCGGCUUAACCGAGGAACUGCCCUCCAAACUGCGUUGCUUGAGGCCGGGAGAGGUGAGUGGAAUUCCCAGUGUAGCGGUGAAAUGCGCAGAUAUCAGGAGGAACACCGGUGGCGAAGGCGGGUCUCUGGGCCGAUACUGACGCUGAGGAGCGAAAGCGUGGGGAGCGAACAGG